GGGAAUGUGGCUCAGGGGUAGAGUGCUCGCCUGGCAUGCGUGAGGCCUUAGUUCAAUUAUCAGCCCUGCCG
rnacentral:tRNA from 1 species